CAGCAAACCACACUGUCUCCAGGUUUCACCAAGUCAGUAUCCAGUUGCUACUUCAUAUUAACCAUGGUGAAAACAAAGCCUCCUAUUCUUCCUUUAGUAGCCUUCUUGCUAUACAUUCAUCAAAGUCAUAUCAUCUUGUUCAGAUAUCUUCAACUGUUGUCACCCCUAACCCACACCCCUGCACUCACACAGCCACACAAUGAAAUCCAGACUCUUCAGCCUCAGCCUCAGUCUAAACCUUGGCUCUGGCAUGCUUUAGACCUUAUUCUGACUAGAAUGUCUAGACCUAGUUCAGGUGCUUAGAAAAGACUGUGGGAUGAAUGUUUCCCUGACUUCCACCUUCCCAUAAGAGGGUAUAGAUUUGGGGCAGAGCAGAAGGAGCAUAGUGGUCAGUGGAAAAGGCCCUUGAAUUGGGAAGCAGACAGGCCUGGCCCAUCCUCCCUUCCACCAGCAUCUGCUUGAGCUGUGGAAGUUCCAUAGCAAGUUCUGGAAUUCAGAGCCUUCAUUUUCACUCCCUGAACAAAAUUAUUGGGCCCACCUGUGAGACCGCAGAGAACAUCAGUCAUUAGGAAGACCCCAGCUCAUUGAAGAGUUUGUAAGCAGCUUGCCUGGUGCCUCAUCAGGCAAUCGUUGCACUACAUUGACGAUAUCUCUGAGAUGUGACCUCUGUGUGCCAAAUCUGCCUCCCCACCAUCUUCACAGUAUUCUCUUCUGGGUCUCCCUCAGCCCAGAUUCUGGUCAUAUUUUCUCUAAAUUGUUGCCCUUUACUCUUCAUCUUCACUGACCCACCUCUGAUUUCCCCAUGUGUCUUCCAAGUUCCUUGUAUCACUGUACCACUCUACUGGGUCACCUUGCACCUUGUAACCGAGCCCCUGUUCCUUCAACACCUGUCAGAAUCUUCCCUCACCAGGUUCCUCCCCUCUGCAUUCCUGCUUCCAUUUCUCCCGGGCAUUCUGUUAAUCUAUUACACUGACUUGAGACUCCUAGAGGGCAAAGGGAUAUAUUUUUCUCAUUUUUUUGUUUCAUUCUACAAUGCUUAGCACAGUGCCUUGCCCAGAGUAGCUGUUUUUCUUGACAGUUUUGCAUGGAGUGGAACUCUUAGUGGGAAUGUGGCUCUGAAAUGACUCAUUAGCCCAUCCACAGAUCUGAGGAUGUAGACUGCCUCCAUCACUGACUUCCUUAUAUAAGCUCCUCAUACACAGGUCCACCACAGACAAAGUAGAAGUGUCCAUCUUCCCUGGAUCCCAUUUGCUGUGACUCCCAGCUCCUUCAUCUUCAUCUGAGCAGUUGUGUUUGAUUGCUAUAGCCUCUUCCCUGGCAGGAGCCCCUGGCCUUCAUUGCAAUCCUGAAUUGCAUUCUUCUCAAGUGGAAAGGGAGACAGAAAGUAAUGUGAUUAAAUUAUGUUGUUGUUUGUUUGUUUGUUUGUUUAAAAUAAAGAUGUUCCUGAUAAUCUAACAAAGAAAUGAGGGAAGAAUACCCUGGUGAGGCUGAUCCAU
rnacentral:lncRNA from 1 species